rnacentral:rRNA from 1 species
UACGUAGGGGGCAAGCGUUGUCCGGAUUUAUUGGGCGUAAAGAGCGUGUAGGCGGCCAUACAGGUCCGUUGUGAAAACUGGAGGCUUAACCUCCAGACGUCGAUGGAAACCGUAUGGCUAGAGUCCGGAAGAGGAGAGUGGAAUUCCUGGUGUAGCGGUGAAAUGCGCAGAUAUCAGGAAGAACACCCGUGGCGAGGGCGGCUCUCUGGGCCACACCUGACGCUGAGACGCGAAAGCUAGGGGAGCGAACAGG